AACGAACGCUGGCGGCGCGCCUAAUACAUGCAAGUCGAACGAGAAUGUGUAGCAAUACACAUGUACAGUGGCGAACGGGUGAGGAAUACAUAGGUAACCUACCCUCGAGUGGGGGAUAACUAGCCGAAAGGUUAGCUAAUACCGCGUACGCUCCCUGGACUGCGGUUCAGGGAGGAAAGCGAUACCGUGGGUAUCGCGCUCUUGGAUGGGCUUAUGUCCUAUCAGCUUGUUGGUGAGGUAACGGCUCACCAAGGCUUCGACGGGUAGCUGGUCUGAGAGGACGAUCAGCCACACUGGCACUGCGACACGGGCCAGACUCCUACGGGAGGCAGCAGUAAGGAAUAUUGCGCAAUGGGCGAAAGCCUGACGCAGCGACGCCGCGUGGGGGACGAAGGUCUUCGGAUUGUAAACCCCUUUCGGGAGGGAAGAUGGAACGGGUAACCGUUCGGACGGUACCUCCAGAAGAAGCCACGGCUAACUUCGUGCCAGCAGCCGCGGUAAUACGAAGGUGGCAAGCGUUGUUCGGAUUUACUGGGCGUACA
rnacentral:rRNA from 1 species